UACGGUUGCAAAGCUGAAACUUAAAGGAAUUGACGGAAGGGCACCACCAGGAGUGGAGCCUGUGGCUUAAUUUGACUCAACACGGGAAACCUCACCCGGUCCGGACACUGGAAGGAUUGACAGACUAAAGCUCUUUCUUGAUUCAGUGGGUGGUGGUGCAUGGCCGUUCUUAGUUGGUGGAGUGAUUUGUCUGGUUAAUUCCGAUAACGAACGAGACUCUCGCCUGCUAAAUAGUUUUCCAUACGUUACUUUAUGGAACCUAAAACUUCUUAGAGGUACAAGUGGCGUUUAGCCACACGAAACAGAGCAAUAACAGGUCUGUGAUGCCCUUAGAUGUCCGGGGCCGCACAUGUGCUACAAUGAAUGCAUCAACGUGUAUCAGCCUCGCCCGAAAGGGUUGGGGAAUCCGCUGAACGGCAUUCUCAGUAGGGAUUGGGGAUUGCAAUUAUUUCCCAUGAACACGGAAUUCCCAGUAGGCGCCAGUCAUCAGCUGGCGUCGAUUGAGUCCCUGCCCUUUGUACACACCGCCCGUCGCUACUACCGAUCGCUCUUGUUAAUGAGCUUGUCGGAUUGGACCCGGUGAGCAGUCGUUGCGCUUCAUCUCCUCGCGGGGUGGGCCUUCGUCUGCGAGCUUUUGGUGUAUGCCGAGAAGAUCGGCAAAUUAUCUGGAGUAGAGGAAGUAAAAGUCGUAACAAGGUAUCCGUAGGUGAACCUGCGGAUGNNNNNNNNNNAUACGUACUACUCUGUGCGGUGGAUCACUCGGCUCGUGUGUCGAUGAAGAGCGCAGCUSGCUGCGAGAAGUAAUGUGAAUUGCAGAACCACAUUGAAACAUCGACAUCUUGAACGCACAUGGCGGCCUCCGGGUUACUCCGGAGGCCACGUCUGUCUGAGAGUCGGAAUUGUAGUGCUUUAAAAAUCGGCGGUCACCACCAAAAUAYAUGUCGUAUACAAUAGAYACGAUAGGUGGAUGUCCGCGAGGGUUGCUUCUCGGUAGAAAGAUACAUACAAAAAGUAAAAGAGAAGCCGCCGAGUGGCGAGUUGUUGAAAGUAGCCCAGCGAAACAACGGAACAAACCCUCGGAAUAAGAAAGAAAAAGACGUGCUGUACGAAAAAGUGCAACG
rnacentral:rRNA from 1 species